rnacentral:rRNA from 6 species
UGCAGAAUCCCGUGAACCAUCGAGUCUUUGAACGCAAGUUGCGCCCGAAGCCAUUAGGCUGAGGGCACGUCUGCCUGGGCGUCACGC